rnacentral:tRNA from 1 species
GGUAGUGUGGCUGAGUAGUCUAAGGUGCUGGAUUAAGGUUCCAGUCUCUUUAGAGGGCAUGGGUGUGAAUCUCACUGCUGCCA